rnacentral:misc_RNA from 1 species
GUAGCAAGAAACAGGUUGGAAAUGUUCAUCACUUGCUGAAAUCCACCACGCCACCAAUUAUAGCGAAUCCGGUAUUCGAACUAUGACAAGCGAUCCUGACAGCAAAGAUCGAAACUGCACAGCGAACUGGAACUCCUUCAGACUUUGGCCCACCCGUACCCCAACUGUUGGAGGACAACUGACGAGCUUACAAUGUGCAUGAAACUAGCAGGUGUUGUUUACCUGUCAGUAUUUAUAUUCGGGGGAAAUUUCAGGGAAUUCAAUCCGGGAAGUAGUAUAUAGAUUGUAAGGUCUAAAGAUAGCUGAUAAUGUGACACCAUGAACCAGGAAGGAAUCUGCAAGAUAUAGACAUUCACAUUUAAAAGCGCAGUUCAUAUAUGCAGGUGAUUUCUCAACGGUGAAGAGACUUUAUAACGUGCAGUUCGUUCAGUGGUGCUUCAUAUUAACAAAUAUCGAUGAAACUCGUUGGUUCUGAUUGGAGGGUACCUAGUGAAGCCGUCUUUAAUUAACACAAGUCCGGAGUGUGGAAUCAGAGUUUGGCGUUAUUGGCAUUUAAUGGUGAACUCCUUUUGGUCAAUAACUUGAUGCUUCAUCGACCUGGACUAUCCGUACAAUUCUUUAAGCUUAAAACACGUCAGGUGUCUCAGGAACUAGUUUAAUUUUUAAGUCACUUACAAAAGAGACGUCACCAUUUUGACAAGGCACCGGAAGACAUAUAUCGGACCAUCACUGGAACUUUGACUUGACCUUGCACGGGGCCUUGCGCGUGUCCCAAGCUGAAGCGUUUUAAAAGCAUGGCUGAGGGCACCGUAUAUCAGCAAAAUGACCAGUUGUGUAAGGAGAUCAAGGACAAAUUUCACGAACAGCUCAAGACAAACACACAGUACCUGUCCCAACUGAAGGAACGACACAUAAUGAGAUAUGGGGCGGCGGUUCCAGUUAAAGCUACCCUCUCCAAGAUUUCUAAGAUGCCAAAAAUGGUUGAAGAUAUCGUCAAAGAACUCCACCAGACAAAUAAAGAAAUUUCCGACCUUAUGGGGAAACUUCCUGUUGAAGAGACAGCAUCUGUGGAACUCAGAGAUUCAGCAUAUUCAGGCAGUAGCGGUAUACCUAGCUGGCAGGGCAGUCCAGAUGAAGGCUUGAUUGAGGCUGUGCAAGAGGAGGCCAAUGGAGAUGCUGGGUACGUGCCGAUGCGACCUGAGAGUGUAUGCUUUGUGGAACGGCAAGGAGCAGCCUCCCAAACCCCACGACGGGAUAGGGGCACACGACAGGCCGUGGAAGACCCAGAUGUCGCGGAGGAAAAACCCUCUACCUAGACCGGCGUCUCACUGUCAGAUCGGUUAGAUACCAACAAUAGUGCACGUGAAUGCUUGUUUGAAUUACAGCUGUGUGUUAUAUAAAGUUUUAUAUCCCAGAUGCUAAAUUCAUCAUGAUUUUCAGUGCUAAUUUGCCUUACAUGGAUUUUGUUUCGAUGGAUAAUCGAGACUGGUUAUUCUCUGGCGUUGUCGUUAUAAAUUACAAUACAUCAUAACUUCGUCCAUUUAGUUCAAGUAUAGAUUUUAUUAGUUAAUCAUCAAGCCAUGCAACAAAAUCACCGUUUUCAAUAUUGUUUUCACUGACUGUUGCUUCUGACAGUGGGUGCACACUAAUCUGACACUGUGUGAGUGAGAGAAUGAGAAUUAUUUUACGCCGCUCGUAUUGCCAAAGACAACAUACCGGACGUUUUGCAGAUGUCUACGUGUCAAAGUCAGACCUUGAAGGUGAUAGGCAAAUGUGACAUGACGUAAUUAUAGAAUAACCCACAGGGUAUGAAUGCUUAUGGAAAAAAUGUCACGAGUCAAAUUAAUUCUUAAAGUUCCGAGUUUUAGCAAAAGAGCCCUCCCCCUCUUCACUGUCUCCGACUCUCUGCCUCAGCACAGGAUUUCCCUCUCUCAUAAAUUUUCUAGCAAAACUAGAAUCUGCUUAACUGAACAACUUUCCUCGUCUCCAUUUCCUCGUGGAUACUGAUCAUAAUCAUGUUUAUAUGUGAAUCAUACUCUGGAUAUGAUGCACAUUUAUGUAAAUUAUCAAUACUCACAAUAGUUAAGGAAGAGCAUAUUUAAAAUGUGAGCGUCGUUCAAUACCGGAAAAGGCCGAAUACACCCGAGAGUACCAACUGCAGCCAAGUGAACAUCAAAACAGAGACCAUGUACCGGUAUAUGACCUCUGAUAAAACAAUGUGCAAUCAAGGUGAUGUGUUCGACUAAUUAUUGUAAUUGUAUUAUUGUUGUCGUGUGGUAUGAACGAGAUUUGGAAGAGAUAGCAUGUGACAUGUGAUAACCCAACUGUUACAAACGGUUUAACCUCGGUUUGCCGGCACCCUGAAUGUUAUGAUAAGCGAUUAAAUGUGCCGGCAAUUUAGAUGUUUAUCUAAAGGAUAGGAAAGAGGACCGCAAUGUGGGUAGCGGUAUUGAGAGGGAAAAUCAGGGCUCAAGUCACCAACAGAAUAUGCUGAUUCUGUGGCAAGAUUUAUUGGUUUGUGAGUUAAAAUGUAUGUGAAGUGUAAAUAAUUAAUUUAAUUUCUGACUUUAAGUUUAUAUAUUUUGUAUGUAUGAACACAUGUAUGAUUUACAAUGUAUGCUGUAUGUACAUGAGAAAUAAAAUAACGAAAGUCAUGUUGUCCCCCCCCUCAGUAUAAAGUCUCCCCCCUGAUUAUUCGGUUUGUUGCAAUGUCUUUUAGUAAAGACAAACCGAGCAAACGAGGUGUCCCCGUUACAAACACCCAUUGUAAUUAUGCCACAGAGUGGUAUAUGUUUAAUGGGGAAAGUCUUUGUAGAGGAAAGUCUAAAGCGACACAGGCCGCAGAUGUUUACAUGUAUGGUGAAGCACCGACAUGUUCCUGACAGAUAAAAAAUAAAUUUAAACAAAUCGGGGCAAAUUUGGGGUUCGCACGUAAAAACCUUACUAACACGUGGUCAUUAGGGCGCGAUGUAAUGUGGUGCCUAGCCUGUCUCACAGUCCCUUAAGCAUAUUAUUUUUCCGUCCGCCCAUCCCAUUCUGUAAUGCAAAAGCCCUAAAUGAAACAAGUAUAGAUAUUCCUCAUGUUCUGAAUUACCCAUCUCACUGGGGCUCCUUUUCAAUUUGAAGUGAAUUAUUUGUUUCUAUGAGACUGAGUGUUAGUCUAUCCCCUACCUAAUGAACACAGUUACCCCUGCCUUAAUGCGAUGGAUAGCGAAAAAGAUUCGCGCAAUUAUAUCAAUAAAAAUAUACGGUUGAUUUAAGGCACAUUUAAGUGUUAUGAUUUAAAUAUAACUGUUAUAUUUCGAAAUUGUGAAUUCUGUAAAAUCUUAUUUUAUGCCCGAAAACGUUACUAGAUAUUUAGUGUGAGCAGUAUUAAAUAUAGCCAUGUUGAUCUUCAUACCAAUGUGUCUCAGUAUGUUUAAUAAACAGUCCAUAUGGGCAUUAUUGUGAUUC